rnacentral:rRNA from 1 species
UACGUAGGGGGCUAGCGUUGUCCGGAAUCAUUGGGCGUAAAGAGCGUGUAGGCGGUCCGGUAAGUCCGCUGUGAAAGUCGGGGGCUCAACCCUCGAAUGCCGGUGGAUACUGCCGGGCUUGAGUACGGAAGAGGCGAGUGGAAUUCCUGGUGUAGCGGUGGAAUGCGCAGAUAUCAGGAGGAACACCGAUGGCGAAGGCAGCUCGCUGGGACGGUACUGACGCUGAGGCGCGAAAGCGCGGGGAGCGAACAGG